rnacentral:misc_RNA from 1 species
GAUGAAGAACGUAGUGAAAUGCGAUACUUGGUGUGAAUUGCAGAAUCCCGUGAACCAUCGAGUCUUUGAACGCAAGUUGCGCCCGAAGCCAUUAGGCCGAGGGCACGCCUGCCUGGGCGUCACACGUCGUUGCCCCCCCAUCUACUCCUUCGGGAUUGCGAGGGGCGGAUGAUGGCCUCCCGUGCGCCUCGUCGCGCGGUUGGCAUAAAUGCCAAGUCCUCGGCGACGCACGCCACGACAAUCGGUGGUUGCGAAACCUCGGUUGCCCGUCGUGUGCGGUCGUCGCGCAUCGAGGGCUCGAAAAAAUUGCCGGGCUCCGGCUCGGCUUUCAACGCGACCCCAGGUCAGGCGGGGUUACCCGCUGAAUUUAAGCAUAUCAAUAAGCGGAGGA